CCUACGGGAGGCAGCAGUGGGGAAUAUUGGACAAUGGGGGGAACCCUGAUCCAGCGACGCCGCGUGAGUGAAGAAGUAUUUCGGUAUGUAAAGCUCUAUCAGCAGGGAAGAAAGAAAUGACGGUACCUGACUAAGACGCCCCGGCUAACUACGUGCCAGCAGCCGCGGUAAUACGUGGGGGGCAAGCGUUAUCCGGAUGUACUGGGUGUAAAGGGAGCGUAGACGGCGAUGCAAGUCUGAAGUGAAAGGCGGGGGCCCAACCCCCGGACUGCUUUGGAAACUGUAUGGCUGGAGUGCAGGGGAGGUAAGUGGAAUUCCUAGUGUAGCGGUGAAAUGCGUAGAUAUUAGGAGGAACACCAGUGGCGAAGGCGGCUUACUGGACUGUAACUGACGUUGAGGCUCGAAAGCGUGGGGAGCAAACAGGAUUAGAUACCCGAGUAGUC
rnacentral:rRNA from 1 species